rnacentral:rRNA from 1 species
UUCUAUUCACUUUUUUAGAUUAAAUGUUUUCUAAAAGUUAUUAUCAUAAAGAACUCUUUAAGUUUGCAAAAAAUUAAUUUUUAAAUGAAAUAUUUUAAAGAAUUAAGAUUUUAUUUAUAUAUCAAUUACCUUUUGUAUUAGUGGGUUUAUAAUUCUAUAAAUCAUUUUAUUUUCCCGAAAAGAGGGGAGUUAAAUAAUUGUUACUUAAUAAUAUCAUUUAUUAUAUGAAUUUUUAUUUAGAGAAGAAAUUUCUUUCGACCCUCUUAUAUCUGGUUUCUUUAUUAAUAAACACAGUUUAGUUAUAAUGCCUUAAAUAAGAAUUAUUCUUUUUUAAUCAUUUUAAAACAAUAUUUGUGGGGAUAAUCUCUCAAAUAAAAAGUCUAAUAUUUUUCUGUAUCAUAUUUACUUUAUUAUAGAUUUAGAAUUAGUCUUUCAUAUAAUGUUAAAAUUAAAUAUUCAAUUUUAAAAUAUUUCAUUUAAAAAUUUAGUUAAAAAUAGAGAUUUUAAAUCAUCUUUCUCCUUUAAGAAAUAAUUAAAUCAUGAGUAAAUACAUAAUUCAAUAUUAAGUUUUUAAAAAAAUUUAAACUUCUGAACUCGGCAAUUUGGAUAUCGAAUGUUUAUCAAAAACAUUUCUAUUUGUUUUAAAUAAAUGGUAUAGUCUGCCCACUGAUUCAUAUUAAAGGGCCGCGGUAUUUUGACCGUGCAAAGGUAGCAUAAUCAUUAGCCUCUUAAUUAGAGGAUUGUAUGAAUGGCUUAACGGUAUCCUUCUUUAUUAGUUUGAUUAAUUGAAAUUAAAUUUUAAGUGAAAAUGCUUAGAUUAAACAUUAAGACGAUAAGACCCUAUAGAUCUUUAUUAUUUCUUAGUACCUUAAAAUUGGGGGAUUUUAAGGUACUAAGAAAUAAUUUUAUUGGGGCAAUAACAGAAUAAAAAUAAAUUCUUUCUUUAACUUUAUUCUCAUAUUAUUAUUAACCUUAUUAUUGAAUAUAAAAAGUUACCUUAGGGAUAACAGCGUAAUAUAUCUGGAGAGUUCAAAUCGAUAGAUUAUCUUGCGACCUCGAUGUUGAAUUAAAAUUUCUAUAAGGAGCAGUAUUUUUGAGUAGAUAGUCUGUUCGACUAUAAAAUUUUUACAUGAUUUGAGUUCAAACCGGCGUAAGCCAGGUUGGUUUCUAUCUUUUGUAUAGUAAAAAAUAUUUUAGUACGAAAGGAUUUAAUUUUUUUUAUAUU